rnacentral:tRNA from 1 species
GGGAGUAUAGCUCAGUGGUAGAGCGUUCCACUGUAGAUCGAGAGGUCCCCGGUUCGAAUCCGUGUGUUUUCU